UAGGAGAAUGUCUGUUCCCCCAGGCUCUGAGUUCCGGAUUGGAUUGCAAGACAGUUUCGAAAUCUAACACGUUGGGGAUAGACACUUGUCAUGCUCACAUGGUCUUUAAACGUCUGGGCUUGGGGAUGACUGGGGCGCGUGUGUGCCCGCUACUACCCCACACACACAACGCCCACCUUUGUAGAGAAGGGUUGACCAUGCCGGAGCUGCUUGUCCGUUUCGGUAAACAGUAUCUAACUUUGUGGGCUACAAUCCCUACCAGAGGAUACCCCUUUCACCCUUCAGUAUUUCAAACAGAAACUAGCCAUUGAGUACACACUCGUUCCUAUUGGUUUAUUUUGCUUGAGAGGGGAGCUCCAAUAGGAGUUCAACUAUGAAUCCCCCCCACCCCCGCCCCAAAUACAACCCAGAUGCUGUUUUGGCUGAUUUCAAGAUGUGCAUGCCCGCACUUCUGGGUUUAGUUUUCACCUAUGCCCAUUAGUUUAAAAAAAAAAAAGCAAACCAACUGUCACAUGUCACAGAAGACUUUCCCCAUUACUUAAAAAAAAAGAAAAGGAAGAAAAGAAAAACCCCAAACGUAAAUAAGCCGAGCAGCGACGUCAGCGCCAGUGUCUGUCUCCAGUUUCGACUCUGUGGCUGUUCUGGUUUUGUGACCUCGGUGGAGAUCCGGCAGGAGGAGACAUCCCGGAGAAAACAAGGUUAAAGCCGAGUCACACUAAGGCGGCCACAGAAUGACCCGCUAGACUUUGGAGUCUGUUUACGAUUACGUUGGAAAUUAACGCGUGCCUUUGCCGCGCCCCCUUCCCAAAGACAACCCCUCAGGGGAGUGCGUUAAAACCCAGAGUCAAGGAAGCUUGGAAUACAUUUUCCAAAAUGAACCAACUGCGGGAAGCGUCACUGUGACGCUACCCUACCCCCAACCCACCCCGCGCGCUCCCCGGUGGUUUGCAGAGUGCACGCGCGGAAAUUAAAGCAAGCGGCGGUUGUAGGACCGUGUCCGGGGAGACAGACAGAAUCCACCGGCUGGCAAACCCCUCUGCAAACUGCCCGGGUCGCAGGGCUUUCCGGAACCUGGCUGGCGAUGACUCAGCUGCUGCGCCCGGGUGCGGGACUGAUGUGAUGCGGGGAGGGGGGCCGCCCGUUGGAGGGCCGCCUCUGUCUGGUUUUGAAGGGUUGUUUGUGGCUGGGAUUGGCGGCUCACAUCCACUGGGGACUCUGGAGAGGAGGGGAGAAAGACGCGAGGAGGAGGAGCUGGACCGCGUGAGUGGCAGGAGUCCGGUUCGGGCCCGGCGGGGACUGCCUUAGUCGCUUUGUUUGCUAACUUGGGGCAGUGGCUUCGGGGCCACUCCACGGAACCCGCCUCGGGUCGGCUAAACCCAGCCGGGGCAGCGCGAGGCCGAAACGUUCCUUCCCGGCGGUUACCCGCGCCCACGCGGUGGCUCUCAUUAUGUACACAAAGCUCCAUCCGCCAAUGAGAAGCCAUGGGGUCUCAGUAUGGACUCGAAUAGUGACGCUUCUGGGACCAUGAAUGCCCAUCGUUCUGACUGAAGAAUCUCUGGAUACACUUUUGGAUGGUAUCGUCAAAGUCAGGCCUCAUGAAAGAUCUGAGUGAGUUUGUAUCUAUAUCGACAACCUUUCCUGAAAGGUCAUGCCUGGUAACAAGGAUCCCAGGACUUGGUGGGAAGGCCCUUUCCCCUGUAGUUACCCGGUGUGCCACGCAGAUUACACAGCACUGCAAGCCUUGCCCUGAUUUCAACGGAGCUCGAAGCUGAGACAGAGCGGGCGAAGCGCUCCAUUGUUUCAUAUCCCUGGGAGCUUCAGGACUGGCAUUCAUGUCUUCCAAAAUACCGUGUUUUCAUCAGCAUACAACGAUGACUUUUUGUCUCUGGGCCUUUCUUGUCAUUAGCCCAAGAAACUCACUCCAUUAUCUGCCGAUUUGGAUACUGCGUGAUAUUUUCUGACGCAAGUACGAUGCUGCCCCCUCGAUCCACCACAAACGAAAACCAUCCAAUGUCUGUAGUAAAAACGGUCCUACCGAGUCUUUACCAGUGACCGCCUGUCCUAUAGAAGACACGUCAGCUGUCUGAACAUCAUCAUCACUGGAAACAGUUUUUCCUUGAUGUACCUGUCUCACUGUUUCCUUUAAAAUCACGUAUUUAUCUGGUUUGGCGUUGAACUUGUCAAUACUGCUAAGAUUUGCAGGUAUCAGCUCAGUCAGUUCUUGUAUUUGCUCUCCUCCUCCUGUCUCCACUUUUCACCACCCUAGGCAAGACCCUGCCCUACAGCGUCACGUGGCAAUUGGCGUUUUCGAGACUCGGUGGCCAGCGGAUCCAAGGAGCUUUCACCUAGUCCGCUCAUCUUGAACACAGAUCUGCAACUGGCAGCCCAAUCAGUGAGGUCCAGGUAGGAGCAAAUCUUUUUGAUCCGCUCGCCACCAUCUUCCUGAGUGCUGCUUCUCUGGAU